GAGUUAAAGGCCGACGCCGAUGACAUUAUUCAGAGACCGUUUUUCAAAUCCGAUUUUCUUUGAAUGGUAAUUCCUUGAUUGUUAGUUUUCGAUAAAAUUAAUAUUUCGGACUGAAAGUUUAUCUCCUUUUUCAGAUUUACAUCCGUUUUUUCAGAUUUACAUCCGUUAAACGGAUCCAGAGAGAUUUGAAAAGAGAUCUGAAAAUCUACGGAUUUUGAAAGAUUUUUAUAAUGGUUUCUCGAGAAAAAAGUGUUGAGAUUUUUCUGAUUAGAAUUUCAAAUCCAGUUUAA
rnacentral:lncRNA from 1 species